GAUGAACGCUGGCGGCGUGCCUAAUACAUGCAAGUCGAGCGGACAGACAGUGAGCUUGUGCCUUUGACGGUGGCGGGGGGCGGGCGGGUAAGGAGUGGAUAACCUUCUUAUAUUACGGGGAGAAUUUCGGGAAAAAGGAUCUAAUAACGGAUAAUAUAAUGAACCGCAGAGUGCAAUGGAUAUACACGGCUUUGGCGUCUGUAAUAGCUGGAGCCGUGCUGGCUUGGCUAGUUGGUAAGGUAACGGCUUACCAAGGCAACGAUGCGUAGCCGAACGGAGAGGAUGAUCGGCCACACUGGAACUGAGACACGGUCCAGACUCCUACGGGAGGCAGCAGUAGGGAAUCUUCCGCAAUGGGCGAAAGCCUGACGCAGCAACGCCGCGUGAGUGAUGAAGGUCUUCGGAUCGUAAAGCUCUUUUAUUGGGGAAGAACAGCUGUGGAAGUAACCAUGGACGUCUUGACGGUACCUAAUCAAAAAGCAACGGCUAACUACGUG
rnacentral:rRNA from 1 species